rnacentral:lncRNA from 1 species
GUGGAGCUGCCAGAGUAAAGCAAAGAGAAAGGAAGCAGGCCCGUUGGAAGUGGUUGUGACAACCCCAGCAAUGUGGAGAAGCCUGGGGCUUGCCCUGGCUCUCUGUCUCCUCCCAUCGGGAGGAACAGAGAGCCAGGACCAAAGCUCCUUAUGUAAGCAACCCCCAGCCUGGAGCAUAAGAGAUCAAGAUCCAAUGCUAAACUCCAAUGGUUCAGUGACUGUGGUUGCUCUUCUUCAAGCCAGCUGAUACCUGUGCAUACUGCAGGCAUCUAAGUAAGACAGUCUUUCUGUGGCUUAAAAUACCUUAAGGGGAAGGCUAUUAAAUACACACACGCAUAUAGACAUAAAAUAAAAGUGUAAAUAAUGUAUUAAGUCACACUUUUAGAAAAACUAUGUGUUUGCAUAGAACAUAUUAGAAGAGAGAAACUAGGAUGAUACACACCAAAAUGUUUACAGUGGGUUUCCUAGGGUUAUGGAAAUUUUUUCUUCUUUUUGUGCACCUAUAUUUUAUAACUUCCUACUAAAUAUGUAUUACUUGUGUAAUGAAAAUGCUCUAAAAUGUACUUCUGCAAAUAGAACAGUUACUUCAAUACAAGAGGCAGAGAA